rnacentral:tRNA from 1 species
AGCGGGGUGGGGUAGCCAGGAUUAACCCGCUGGGCUCAUAACCCAGAGAUCGGUUGUUCAAAUCAACCCCCCGCUA